CUGGGGGAAAGAUGGGGCUCACCCGCAGAAGCCUGCUCUGUUAUGCUUCUCCACACACUUCUGAUGGGCACAGGCUUUCACUUGCUGUCUGACCCUGGAACCAGAAUCCUUUCCCAUGCCUCCCCACCCUGCCAUCUAUGCUGUCAGCAGUUCUUCCUGGUGGUGGUCCCGCACUCCAGUGCUGUCUACACCCGGGGUCCACUUGCAAAUAGUAAUCACUCUCCACUCUCCUCAGUCUAAUCCUCAACUCUUGUGCCAGGUCAACCAACAAGAAAUCAAAGAAGAUUCAUUUUAAGUUUGGGUUGAAUAAGAAGUGCAAUAGCAAGUAAGAAAUCAGAAUUCUACAUUAAGAAGCCACAAUGAUGAUCUUCACUCUCCUUCCCCAUGCUUUAUGAAUUUGUAGAGACAUGAGGAGGAUUUUACAAUUUCAAAAUCCACAACCUUGUUUGGAGAUAAAGUGGGAAGAAGGAAACAUGCAAAUCCCAUCCAAUUGAAGGCACUAUUGAUUUAAAGAUGCAUCCUUUUAUCUAUUUUCCUUGGUCAAGGAAAAAGGUGUCAAAGCAUGUCUUGCUAGUUUAUUUCAAAUAAGCCACGAAUCACAAGAGUCGAAUGUGCCUAUUUAUGAAUGCAUAGAGUAAAUGCCAUGCCAGACGUCAAUGUGUUUCCAGUGAUGGUGUUACAGCUGGGAUGAGGAUGGGGAAAGAAGACAAGUAGGAAAAUAUUUCUACACAAAGCAACUUUGGAACUGAAUUUGGAGAGGUGAGGAGGUUGGUGGUGUGAAGAGAUAUACAGGAUAUUCCAUGCAGAAGAAAUAGAAUGGGUGAAAAAGUGUGCCUGUCCUGCGAUGAUGAGAUGAUGAGAAAGGAGACCUGGAGGCAGGAUGGUGAUUAGCAGUCAGGCUCUCAAGCUGCAGGCCAGACUAGGCUGUCUUGAAGACCAUGCUAAGGAGUUUGACUUAGCAUAUUGCAGGCAAAAGGAAGACACUGAAGAAAAUCAAGCAAGAUGCUGAGUCUAUUAGGGGCUUCACAAAUUGCUACUGUUACAUCAAACCAUUGUCACUUCAAACUACGUGCACCUGUUUUCCCUGCUGGACAUCUAUGGUCAGGAAACUACUAUUAGCAGAAUUUCUGAUUCAAAGAUUGUCGACCCCAUUUACAGAGUCAACUGGAGGAUGGCCCUUUGAUAACUCACAUUCUUUCCCGGGCAGACUUCUGGUGACUUGGGCACCAGGGUCCUGGAAUUAUAAUAAAAGAACUGGAUUUUAAGUAGUCUAUUCAGAGGCCUGUUUUCUAAAGACUUCCAGGAAAAGUACUGCAGAUGCUGCUGGUACACAUACAUAGCUCCUUACUACCAUCCCUGCAACUCUCUGCCUUAGAGCUUUCUUUGGCCACACAAGCAAGCUGGGCCCAUGCAUGUGAGAAGGCGGCUGGAAGUUCUGGGACAUCAACAGCCCUAGAGGCAACCCUCAACCAACAGAAGUCAGGAGUGGGUAGCUAAAUACUCCAGCUUCCUUGCAUCUCAGGUGGGACAACUCUAAGGUGGUGUGUUCUACCUGGGAGGAUUAGGCCUUAGUUGCCUAGAGUCCUAACCUGCUCAUCAAUAUCUCCUGUCUGGGUGUCCUUCCUUUUCUGUCUCACUUCCCUACAUCACUUCCCAAAUGAACUAUGUGGAUCUCAGGGUCUGGUUUUGGGGGGAAUUGAACCUAAAGACUUCCUCAAUUGUUAUAAAAUUAUUUCUAGCCAGCUCCAAAUUACACGUCAGAAUGUUCCUUUACCAGUGAUAUUUACAUGGGAAAAUAUGCAUGGAUGCCAUUUCAGAAAACGGUCACAGAGUUACUUCAGCCAGAACAGCAUAUCGGAACCACAUUUUCACAGCUCUAUAAUAAAAUAGACAACAUAUUCUAAAGGGAAGUUUUUCAAAUGUAGAAAUUCUUAUGAUCAUAUUUGUUAUUUCAUCUUGUUACAUAAUAAUAGGAAUAACUUUUUCCAGGUACCUUUCAUAAAUUAGUUUGAAACUCCUUCCAACUCUUGAGUCAUCAAUUGUUUCAUAGACACAGCUGGGGGAAAUUUGGGGCAAGGAGGAGACGGUUGCCAGAGGAAUCGGCCCUAUGAUUAGAGGGUUGGAGCUUUCAGCUCCACAUACCACCUCCCUGGGAAGGAGAGGGCUGGAGAUUGAUCUAAUCACCCGUGGACAAUAAUUUGAUCAAUCAUGCCUACACAAUGAAGUCUACCUGAAAAAACCCUAUGUGAUGGGGUUUAGAGAGCCUCCGGGUUGGUCAAAACACUGACGUGCUAGAAGGGAGAUGUGUAGGGAGAAGGUAUGAAAAGUCCACAUCCCUCCCCAUAUCUUUAAGUGUUCCUGGGUUGUAUUUUCCACAAUAAAUUGGUAAAUGUAAGUCAAUGUUUCCCUGAGUUCUGUGAACUAUCCUAGCGAAUUACUGAACCUGAGUAGGGAUUAUGAGAAUUCCCCAUUUCUAUAGUUGGUCAGUCAGAAAUGUAGGAGGCCAGGACUUUGCUACUGGCUUGUGAAGUAGGUAUAGUCUUGUGGGAUCUCAUGCUAAUGCCAGGUAUCUACUGAGAGUUGGGUACCAUGGGAGGUAAACCUCACACAUUUAGUAUCAGAAGUGUUGCUCAUAGGAAAAAUUAUUUUUGUUGUUUGAUUAUUUCUGUGUCAUUUCUCAUCGCUGGGUAGUGGUCCCUUUGAGUAACAGGUUUCCUUGAUGGGGCCUCUCUUACAGUGCUCCUAAAGGAGAGAGAGUUCUUAGGGAGAUUAGGGGUGCCUUCACUCUGUUUCUCUCCUUGCCAAACCCUGCCCCAAGGGCAGUCCUUGGGAUGAUGGGUAUCAACAAGCAAAAUCCCACCUAGCUGUCUUCUGUGCUAUUGUCAGGAAACUCAUACAUCCUUGUGCAAUAUAAGUAGGAAUGCAAAAUAGUCCAUGGCUGCCUUCAACACCAGGUUGUCUCUUUUCCCACACUCCAGUGUAGGUAGGUCACCAAGUCUACUGCAAGUACAAUUCUGGGGCAGAGGAAAAUCCCACUCAGUGUAUCUACGUGAAUUAUUGAUUAAUCCUUAGCACUUAAUAUAGUACCCAAGACAGAGGAGAAAUUGAAUAAAUAUUAGUUGGGUGGACAAAGGUUUAACAGCUCAAUGACUCUUCAUUGACAAAAAGACGUUUCUCAAGGCAGAGCCAAAGUGCUCCCAAUUCCAUUAUGGAACAACAUCUGUUCCCCAAUCCAUUUAUAUGAUGCAUUAUAUAUACGGAGACUGUAAUUAAGUCACUCUUAGCCUUAUCCUCUUUUGGCCAACCAACAUCAUUUCCGUGAUCCCUUCGUCUUAAGCCUGGGUCUCCAACUCUUUAAUCAUUUCUGCUCUCUUCUACAUCCAAAUGUCCCACUUUUAAACUGUGGAGAUCUAAAUGGAAAUCUAUCAUAAUGAUGCUGUAAAAGUUUGGCAAAUUUCAGAGGAAACCAACAUCUGUUUGGUCCUUUCUCAUUUUCUUCUUGCUGCCUUUUCAUUGAGAUUCUCAGGAAAAGCUGUAAAAUUUAUUUUUAAAAAUAAUUCAACAACAUCUAUUCUUGCCCAUGUCUUCCUAUUUGCACAAAUAUAAUUUCUAUGCAAAAAUGCAUUCAUAAAUGGAGGGCUAAGUUCACAAAUAUAAGCCUUUACAUAAUAUUUUCAAAUGUUUUGCAUGUAUUUUUACUUACCAUUCUGUUGUCUUUAUUUGAACUUUUCCUAUGCUUUAGGUAUAGACCCACUGAAUAUGAAUAAAAAUAAUAUUACACAGCAUGUAACCAUAUACCAGAAAAGUUUUGCAUGUAUUAACUUAGAUAAUCUUCAUAACAACCCAGUGAGCCAACUACUAAAGAUGUGCCCAAGAGAAGCAUAGCAAGUGAGAAUCAGAGCUGGGAUUUGAACACUGGAAGGCAAGUCCUGGAGUCUGUGCUCUUAUUAUGACAUGUUGCUGUCCAUUUAUGAGUAUCGAGGUACACUGGCCCUUUUGUAGGUUUCUUUAUAUUGGUGAUCUUUAAUAUACACAAGUAUACUUUGCGUUUAAAGAUGACUUUUCUAAUACAGUUAUUAUAUAGGAGGACCGAUAUUGGUUUGACUGAAGAAGUGACGCACGGCUGUUCCUUUACUGAUGUACUCUUUGUUCCCUUAUGUUAAAAGAAGGUUGUAUUUACUUUUUGAAUGUGAAUCCUAUGGUCGCUAAAUAUUGAUGAAUUAAAUAUUCUCUUUAGGUCAAACACAGCUCAUCUUACCAUCAUGAAUUGCAAAUGUAACCUCCAGCAGUCCUAUAAAUUUGUCCCAAACAGCUGUAAUGUACAUCUCAGGUUACCCAGAAAUACAGAAGAAUGCUUGAUCUUGCCCUGAGUAUAAUUCAUUUCUGAGUCAGUUUUCCAGAACAGAUGGGACUAUUGUUACCACCCAGGUCUUCCUGUAGGGCUUUUGGAAACUGGAACUGCCCUUCAGGGAACUGAAAAGAACCUAUUAAAUUGGUGGU